AGAGUUUGAUCCUGGCUCAGGAUGAACGCUAGCGGCGCGCUUAACACAUGCAAGUCGUGCGAUCGGCUUAUUCCAAUUUCCUUCGGGAAAGCGGAAUAAGUACGGAGCGGCGGACGGGUGAGUAACGCGUAGCUUACCUCCCGUCGGGCGGAGGAUAACACCGGGAAACUGGUGCUAACACUCCACGAUAUCAAAGAACCUCAGGUUCUUUGAUCAAAGGACCUUCGGGUCCACCCGACGAUGGGGCUGCGUCCUAUUAGCUAGAUGGUGAGGUAAAGGCUCACCAUGGCCAAGAUAGGUAGGGGGCCUGAGAGGGCGAUCCCCCUCACUGGGACUGAGACACGGCCCAGACUCCUACGGGAGGCUGCAGUGGGGAAUCUUGCGCAAUGGUCGCAAGGCUGACGCAGCGACGCCGCGUGGAGGAUGAAGGCCUUCGGGUUGUAACUCCUUUUCUGGGAGACGAAUAAGGUCAGCAGGCAAUGGUUGACCGAUGACGGUACCCCAGGAACAAGCGCCGGCUAACUUCGUGCCAGCAGCCGCGGUAAGACGAAGGGCGCAAGCGUUAUCCGGAAUUACUGGGCGUAAAGGGCGUCUAGGCGGCCCAUCAAGUCGACGUUGAAAGCCCUUGGCUCAACUGAGGGAUGUACGUCGAAACUGAUAGGCUCGAGGAACGUAGAGGAAGGCGGAACUCUCGGAGUAGCGGUGAAAUGCGUANAGACCGAGAGGUACCCCGAUGGUGAAGACAGCCUUCUGGGCGUUUCCUGACGCUGAAGCGCUAAGGCCAGGGGAGCGAAGGGNAUUANAUACCCCCGUANUCCUGGCUUCAAC
rnacentral:rRNA from 1 species